rnacentral:lncRNA from 1 species
CACAUCCUUUAUGGUGGCACUGAGAGAACGGUCUUGUUGGACGGGAUCCUGCACCCCAAAAUCUUCUGCCUCUUUCAGGCCGGUGACAACAUUUCAGGGAACGAGGAAAUCAAAGAUUAAGGUCCACCUGCCCAACUUUCUGUUUCCUUUCUCCUCACGACUUCGCUUUUUCAGAGAAGUUGUCCUCUGUUUCUCAUUAAAAAGCCCAAAGGCAUGACUGGAUUGUCAACGUUUUCAUUCGUACCUAGCUCAGACGCCCUGUGGCCUGUAGUGUUGCUUUCGAGACCACAUCCUGACCAGACCCUGCUAAAGCCGAUCUUUCACUGAACAACAGAAAUAUGAGCUGCCCAGAAAGAAACACAUCUUAAAGAGUUCGGACUUCUUUACGUGGAGAAAAGAUUUUAAGGAGGAUUUGAGGUGAUAGAUUAUAUACUGCAGGUUGGUCUGCAUCGUAAUGAUUGGCAAGGUGCUUCUGUGGGCUCUCAUCGGUUCCUGUACAUCAGUCACUGUGAUCACACCCCAAACCCGAGUCUGGGUCUAUUCCGGCAAGACUGCUGUCCUUCCAGUUUUAAUUCAGUUCCAGAAUCCAAAGUGGGAAUAUUUUCAUGUCCGGUGGGAAUUCCUCACACAGAAUUGCCCCGUCCUUUUCUAUGUCAUGAAUUGCUCCACUCCUCCUCCUGGGUCACAGAAACGUACCUGCGACCAUCAGAUGGAGAUGGAAGGACGCUUUUCAGGAAGGGUCAACAUUUCUAGGGAUGUUUCCCUGGAGCUGAGGGAUGCAAACCCUGAGGAUGCCGGAAUAUAUGAGGUAACCAUAUACGCACUUGAUGAGUCUGGCAGAGGACAAGUGGAACUUGUGUUCAUGGAAGGUACCACAAAAGAUCUCAGGUUCAUGGUGACCAAAAACCACAGCCCGGUGGGAGAAGGAGGGGUCCAUACGCCUGGAUUACGUACUUCAGGGAAGUCUAGUCCUUCAAACAAAGGAGCCAUUACUAGUGAAGAAGUAACUGGUUACCUCAGAAGCAACUACAAAAUGGCGCCUGUCCCUAUAGUAGCCUCUCAGAAAUGA